rnacentral:rRNA from 1 species
UACAGAGGGGGCGAGCGUUGUCCGAAGUUACUGGGCGUAAAGCGCGCGUAGGCGGUCCGUUAAGUCCGGGGUGAAAGGUUCAGCGCUCAACGUGAACAGUGCCUUGGAGACUGGGGGACUUGAGUGUGGGAGGGGGCGGUGGAAUUCCCGGUGUAGCGGUGAAAUGCGUAGAUAUCAGGAGGAACACCGGUGGCGAAGGCGGUUCUCUGGGCAUGACCUGACGCUGAGGAGCGAAAGUGUGGGGAGCGAACAGG